rnacentral:rRNA from 1 species
UACAGAGGUGGCAAGCGUUGUUCGGAAUUACUGGGCGUAAAGGGCGCGUAGGCGGCCCGUCAAGUCCCGUGUGAAAGCCCCCGGCUCAACCGGGGAACGGCGCGGGAAACUAGCAGGCUUGAGUUCGGGAGAGGGAAGCGGAAUUCCGGGUGUAGCGGUGAAAUGCGUAGAUAUCCGGAGGAACACCGGUGGCGAAGGCGGCUUCCUGGACCGACACUGACGCUGAGGCGCGAAAGCUAGGGGAGCAAACGGG